GACGAACGCUGGCGGCGUGCCUAAUACAUGCAAGUCGAACGCAGUGGGGACGGGUGAGUAACACGUGGGUAACCUCCCAUCAGCGGGGAUAACACUUGGAAACAGGUGCUAAACCGAUACUGAUGGCUGGACCCGCGGUUCAUUAGCUAGUUGGUGAGGUAACGGCUCACCAAGGCCACGAUGCAUAGCUGGUCUGAGAGGAUGAUCAGCCACACUGGGACUGAGACACGGCCCAGACUCCUACGGGAGGCAGCAGUGGGGAAUAUUGGACAAUGGGCGAAAGCCUGAUGCAGCAACGCCGCGUGUAUGAAGAAGGCUUUCGGGUCGUAAAGCACUGUCAGUAGGGAGGCGGUAUCUAAAGAAGAAGCACCGGCUAACUACGUGCCAGCCGCCGCGGUAAUAC
rnacentral:rRNA from 1 species